CUUUAUUGGAGAGUUUGAUCCUGGCUCAGGACGAACGCUGGCGGCAUGCCUAAUACAUGCAAGUCGAGCGAACUUGAAGAGAAGCUUGCUUCUCUGAUGGUUAGCGGCGGACGGGUGAGUAACACGUAGGCAACCUGCCCUCAAGCUUGGGACAACUACCGGAAACGGUAGCU
rnacentral:rRNA from 1 species